rnacentral:lncRNA from 1 species
GGAGGAGGAGGAGGGGAAGCGGGGAAGGAGGCCGCCAAGAAGUGGAGGAAGCAGGCGUCCGACGUGGACCUGGAGAUCGAGAGCUUGCUGAGUCAGCAGUCCACCAAGGAGCAGCAGAGCAAGAAGGUCAGCCAGGAGAUCCUGGAGCUUCUCAACACCACCACGGCCAAGGAACAGUCCAUUGUGGAGAAGUUCCGGUCGCGUGGUCGGGCCCAGGUCCAGGAGUUCUGCGAUCAUGGCACCAAGGAGGAGUGUGUCAAGGCCACCGGUGCCGACCGGCCCUGCCGCAAGCUCCACUUCCGCCGCAUCAUCAACAAACACACGGACGAGUCCCUGGGCGACUGCUCCUUCCUCAACACCUGCUUCCACAUGGACACCUGCAAGUACGUCCAUUACGAGAUCGACGCCUGCCCGGCCACCCCACCUCGCACCCCACCGCACCCCCAUCCCCGCGACCGCAGCCCCACGCAGGACCUGGGACGGGGACCCCCCGCCGACGCCGGCGCCGACCGACUCUUCCCACCACAGGUAGGACCACCAUAACCC